rnacentral:rRNA from 1 species
UCGAGAAUCUUCGGCAAUGGACGAAAGUCUGACCGAGCGACGCCGUGUGUGUGAUGAAGGCCUUCGGGUUGUAAAACACUGUCAGUUGUGAGGAAAUCUCAGGGGGCUAUCCCUCUGAGUUGACCUAGCUUCAGAGGAAGGACGGGCUAAGUUCGUGCCAGCAGCCGCGGUAAGACGAACCGUCCAAACGUUAUUCGGAAUCACUGGGCUUAAAGGGUGCGUAGGCGGCAUAUCAAGUGGGGUGUGAAAUACCUCGGCUCAACCGAGGAACUGCGCUCCAAACUGAUAUGCUUGAGGAAGGCAGAGGUAAGCGGAACUUGCGGUGGAGCGGUGAAAUGCUUUGAUAUCGCAAGGAACACCAGUGGCGAAGGCGGCUUACUGGGCCUUUUCUGACGCUCAGGCACGAAAGCUAGGGGAGCGAACG